UCGCUCUUGCCCCGCAAAACUUGUUGAAAUUUCCUCAAAUACACUUUCGAAUCAUCCGAAUGACCAGACGAAUGAUAACGAGAAUACAGAAUACGCGACAGAGAAUAAUUGAAAAAUACGAAAAUAUACGAAAACAUAUGAAGAGCAACGUCAAUUUCGCAAAGUGUGAAACAUUCAAGGUGAGAGUUCGACAGGUGGGCUGGAUAAGUGGUCGCUGCAAAUCCAAUUUAUCGAACAUCGAAGACACGUGUACGAAACGGUACGAAACGUGUGAAAAGAAGAACGUUGGACAAAAUAAAUGAUAAAAAGAAAGGUGGGAGGGAAAUUGAGCGAAGUAGAACGAAAGACCUUGAUUUGCUGGCUGUACUUGAAACUUGUUAAUGGCUGGUAAUUAACGUGGCGAAUAAUCGUCGACUGUUCGUGAUGCGCCAUUCGAACGACAAAGGGGUCUAAUGAAACCAAGUUAAACUCUCUCUCGAGCGUCGAUUAUCUUUGAUCGUUCUAACUUGACAUCGAGCUUGAAGCAGCCAUUAGAAAAAUUGCCUCUAUCUCCAAUACGUUCGUUAAAUACCAUAAGUAGACUAGGCAUUUUUAUGUAUUUACGCGAAAUUUAAAUUGAUUUAAUCUUCUGAAAUUGAGAUGGUAGACGAUGAGAUUGUAAGAAAAGGAAGGAAAAAAUAAAGAAUGAACUGAUAUCUUUUUUUUUUUUUUUAGUAAGAGAUAAUGUAAAUUCUAUGCGAGAUACGAUAAAAGGAGUUAAAAAUUCGCGAGUAAUUUAUUUUAGCUUCUAACAUUAGAACGACGAAGUUCAGUUUCUUUCCUCUUUUUUACUAUUACUCAAAAUUACGUACAUAUGAGUUUUUAGAAAAAUUACUGUACUUAUUUAUAUAGUACCCAUUUCGCGUUAUCGUUAUACUACUUUAAUUAUAGUCAUCUGAGAGUAUAUUUAAAUAUACAUUAAGGAUUGAUUAUUCUAGUAUAAUACUAAGGUUAUAUGCGAUAGGAAGAUGGCAAAAGAUUAACUGCAUGAGCGAAUUAAUUAUUUUAAAAAGACCAAAACGUAAUAUACGAACAAACAGAUUUAAUUAAUCCAAUAGGUUUUCUAUAGUCCAUUCUCUGCCCAAAUCAAACCUGAGGAUACUAAACAUCGAAAAUCCAUAGCAUUCGUGUGAUAAAAUUAAUAGAAAUACGUUUGCUUCUAUCGAACAUCUUCGCUUAUUGGCACUGGAAAUUGUUUGCCAUUUUAACUUGUCAAUGGCGAUCGAAAUCAACUUAUCAAACAAUCAGACAAACGUGUUAAG
rnacentral:misc_RNA from 1 species